rnacentral:rRNA from 1 species
CAGCCGCCGCGGUAAUACAGAGGGUGCAAGCGUUAAUCGGAAUUACUGGGCGUAAAGCGCGCGUAGGUGGUUUGUUAAGUUGGAUGUGAAAGCCCCGGGCUCAACCUGGGAACUGCAUCCAAAACUGGCAAGCUAGAGUACGGUAGAGGGUGGUGGAAUUUCCUGUGUAGCGGUGAAAUGCGUAGAUAUAGGAAGGAACACCAGUGGCGAAGGCGACCACCUGGACUGAUACUGACACUGAGGUGCGAAAGCGUGGGGAGCAAACAGGAUUAGAGACCCCUGUAGUCCCUGUCUCUUAUAC